rnacentral:rRNA from 1 species
UCCGUAGGUGAACCUGCGGAUGGAUCAUUAGAAAGUGUUAGACGCGCAAGCGUCGACCACCUACUCUGUGCAUCGUAACGUACCCUGGCGGGAGCCUGCGCAAGCGGCGCCCGUCGAAGGGCAGAUACCCCUCGGGGCGUCUGUUCCCAACAAACACAUCAACCAAAGUCUGAAGCUAAAGAAGCAAUGUUAAACAACUCUUGACAACGGAUCUCUUGGCUCUCGCAACGAUGAAGAACGCAGCGAAAUGCGAUACGUAAUGUGAAUUGCAGAAUUCCGUGAAUCAUCGAAUCUUUGAACGCACCUUGCGCUUCUUGGCAUUCCAGGAAGCAUGCCUGUUUGAGUCUCAGUUGACUCUCACUCUGUGGAUCUGGGCGGCUCGGCAACGACCGCCUGAAAUGCAUCAAGCUGGCCUCUAGAGUGCUCGACACUUGUGGCUCGAUAAUACUUCGGUUUAUUAGUCGGUCGUGUGGAUGCGUCUCUAAAGGACAUGUGUAUCAUACCCUCAGCGGUAUCUGACACCUUGAGCUCAAAUCAGGCAAGACUACCCGCUGAACUUAAGCAUAUCAAUAAGCGGAGGAAAAGAAACUAACCAGGAUUCCCCUAGUAACGGCGAGUGAAGCGGGAUCAGCUCAAUUUUUAAAUCUCGGAGGCUCCCUCCGCGAGUUGUAGUUUGAAGAGUCGCUUUCGGCGGUGGGUCCGGUCCAAGUUCCCUGGAACAGGACGCCGGAGAGGGUGAGAGCCCCGUGGGGCCGGCACCCGCCUAAUGUGAUGCGCACUCGAAGAGUCGGGUUGUUUGGGAAUGCAGCCCUAAACGGGAGGUAAAUUUCUUCCAAGGCUAAAUACCGGCGAGAGACCGAUAGCGAACAAGUACCGUGAGGGAAAGAUGAAAAGCACUUUGAAAAGAGAGUUAAACAGCACGUGAAAUUGUCAAAAGGGAAACGCUUGAAGU